rnacentral:rRNA from 1 species
GACGAACGCUGGCGGCGUGCUUAACACAUGCAAGUCGAACGGAAAGGCCCCUUUGGGGGUACUCGAGUGGCGAACGGGUGCGUAACACGUGAGUAACCUUCCCUUGACUUCGGGAUAACUUCAGGAAACUGGGGCUAAUACCGGAUAGGAAUCCUUGCUUCAUGGUGGGGGUUGGAAAGCUUCGGCGGUUUUGGAUGGACUCGCGGCUUAUCAGCUUGUUGGUGGGGUAGUGGCUUACCAAGGCUUUGACGGGUAGCCGGCCUGAGAGGGCGACCGGCCACAUUGGGACUGAGAUACGGCCCAGACUCCUACGGGAGGCAGCAGUGGGGAAUAUUGCACAAGGGGCGGAAGGCUGAUGCAGCAGCGCCGCGUGCGGGAUGACGGCCUUCGGGUUGUAAACCGCUUUCAGCAGGGGCGAAGCUUGUGGUGACGGUACCUGCAGAAGAAGCACCGGCUAACUACGUG